CAAACAACAUUAUUGACUCCACACAUAGGGACUGGCUGGUCAGCCAGGACGACAAGGAGAGAAAGGAGACACGGGAGACCCAGGAGAGCACGGGCGAAAUGGCAGCCCUGGACCUGCAGGACCAAGAGGAGAGAAAGGAGACCAGGUGGAGUGUGUGCUUUAAAUUUCAAGCUAAUCAGGCAUCUUUAGUUCUAUCCUCUGGUUUCUCACUCCUCUUUUCUUCUUAA
rnacentral:lncRNA from 1 species